UCUACCUAUAGGUUCGGGACAACAGUUGGAAACGACUGCUAAUACCGGAUGUGCCUUCGGGUGAAAGUUUAAAUGCCUGUAGAUGAGCUUGCGUCCGAUUAGCUAGAUGGAGUGGUAACGGCACACCAUGGCGACGAUCGGUAACUGGUCUGAGAGGAUGACCAGUCACACUGGAACUGAGACACGGUCCAGACUCCUACGGGAGGCAGCAGUGGGGAAUUUUCCGCAAUGGGCGAAAGCCUGACGGAGCAAUACCGCGUGAGGGACGAAGGUCUGUGGAUUGUAAACCUCUUUUGUUAGGGAAGAUAAUGACGGUACCUAACGAAUAAGCAUCGGCUAACUCCGUGCCAGCAGCCGCGGUAAGACGGAGGAUGCAAGCGUUAUCCGGAAUUAUUGGGCGUAAAGCGUACGUAGGCGGUUUUAUAAGUCUGUUGUCAAAGCCCGAGGCUUAACCUUGGAAAGGCAAUGGAAACUGUAAGACUAGAGAGAGAUAGGGGCAGGAGGAAUUCCAGGUGUAGCGGUGAAAUGCGUAGAUAUCUGGAAGAACACCAGUGGCGAAAGCGUCCUGCUGGAUCUCAACUGACGCUGAAGUACGAAAGCUAGGGGAGCGAAUGGG
rnacentral:rRNA from 1 species